GAUGAACGCUGGCGGCGUGCCUAAUACAUGCAAGUCGAGCGAAUGGAUUAAGAGCUUGCUCUUAUGAAGUUAGCGGCGGACGGGUGAGUAACACGUGGGUAACCUGCCCAUAAGACUGGGAUAACUCCGGGAAACCGGGGCUAAUACCGGAUAACAUUUUGAACCGCAUGGUUCGAAAUUGAAGGGCGGCUUCGGCUGUCACUUAUGGAUGGACCCGCGUCGCAUUAGCUAGUUGGUGAGGUAACGGCUCACCAAGGCAACGAUGCGUAGCCGCCCUGAGAGGGUGAUCGGCCACACUGGGACUGAGACACGGCCCAGACUCCUACGGGAGGCAGCAGUAGGGAAUCUUCCGCAAUGGACGAAAGUCUGACGGAGCAACGCCGCGUGAGUGAUGAAGGCUUUCGGGUCGUAAAACUCUGUUGUUAGGGAAGAACAAGUGCUAGUUGAAUAAGCUGGCACCUUGACGGUACCUAACCAGAAAGCCACGGCUAACUACAUGCCAGCCGCCGCGGUAA
rnacentral:rRNA from 1 species